GGGGAAAUGCCCUUAGUCUGGCUCAGUGGCAGAGCAUCUUUUUGGCACACAGAAAGUACCAGGUUCAAUUCCUAGGACCUUCA
rnacentral:tRNA from 1 species